AACCAGCACCUCAAGUGGUCAGGAUGAUUAUUGGGCCUAAAGCAUCCGUAGCCUGUUCUGUAAGUUUUCGGUUAAAUCUAUGCGCUCAACGUAUAGGCUGCCGAAAAUACUGCAGAGCUAGGGAGUGGGAGAGGUAGACGGUACUCGGUAGGAAGGGGUAAAAUCCUUUGAUCUAUUGAUGACCACCUGUGGCGAAGGCGGUCUACCAGAACACGUCCGACGGUGAGGGAUGAAAGCUGGGGGAGCAAACCGG
rnacentral:rRNA from 1 species